rnacentral:rRNA from 2 species
AGUCUGAUGGAGCAACGCCGCGUGAGUGAAGAAGGCUUUCGGGUCGUAAAACUCUGUUGUUGGAGAAGAAUGGUCGGCAGAGUAACUGUUGUCGGCGUGACGGUAUCCAACCAGAAAGCCACGGCUAACUACGUGCCAGCAGCCGCGGUAAUACGUAGGUGGCAAGCGUUAUCCGGAUUUAUUGGGCGUAAAGCGAGCGCAGGCGGUUUUUUAAGUCUGAUGUGAAAGCCCUCGGCUUAACCGAGGAAGUGCAUCGGAAACUGGGAAACUUGAGUGCAGAAGAGGACAGUGGAACUCCAUGUGUAGCGGUGAAAUGCGUAGAUAUAUGGAAGGACACCAGUGGCGAAGGCGGCUGUCUGGUCUGUAACUGACGCUGAGGCUCGAAAGCAUGGGUAGCGAACAGGGUUAGAUACCCUGGUAGUCCAUGCCGUAAACGAUGAAUGCUAGGUGUUGGAGGGUUUCCGCCCUUCAGUGCCGCAGCUAACGCAUUAAGCAUUCCGCCUGGGGAGUACGACCGCAAGGUUGAAACUCAAAGGAAUUGACGGGGGCCCGCACAAGCGGUGGAGCAUGUGGUUUAAUUCGAAGCAACGCGAAGAACCUUACCAGGUCUUGACAUCUUUUGAUCACCUGAGAGAUCAGGUUUCCCCUUCGGGG